CCUACGGGGGGCUGCAGUAAGGAAUAUUGGUCAAUGGACGAAAGUCUGAACCAGCCAUCCCGCGUGCAGGAUGAAAGCCCUAUGGGUUGUAAACUGCUUUUAGCAGAGAAGAAAAGCUUUCAUUAAUGAGAGUCUGACGGUAUCUGCAGAAUAAGCACCGGCUAACUCAGUGCCAGCAGCCGCGGUAAUACGGAGGGUGCGGGCGUUAUCCGGAAUUACGGGGUUGUAGGGGUGGUAUGAAGUAGGAGGUGAAAUCUUGUCGCUUAACGAUAAAAUUGCCAAGGAUACUGGUACGCUUGAGUUGGGUUGAGGUUAGCGGAAUGUGACAUGUAGCGGUGAAAUGCAUAGAGAUGUCAUGGAACACCAAUUGCGAAGGCAGCUAACUGGGCCUUGAUUGACGCUGAGGCACGAAAGCGUGGGUAGCGAACAGGAUUAGAUACCCUGGUAGUC
rnacentral:rRNA from 1 species